rnacentral:rRNA from 1 species
GAUGUCGGCUCAUCGCAUCCUGGGGCUGAAGAAGGUCCCAAGGGUUUGGCUGUUCGCCAAUUAAAGCGGUACGUGAGCUGGGUUUAGAACGUCGCGAGACAGUUCGGUCCCUAUCUGGUGUGGGCGCAGCAGGAUUGAGGGAAUCUGUCCUUAGUACGAGAGGACCGGGAUGGAUCCACCUCUAGUGUACGAGUUAUCCCGCCAGGGGUAGCGCUCGGUAGCUAAGUGGAGCAUGGAUAAACGCUGAAUGCAUCUAAGCGUGAAGCCAGACCCAAGAUUAGUCCUGACAGUGAGGCUCGUGGUAGACCACCACGUUGAUAGGGUGGAGAUGUAAGCGUUGAAAGACGCUCAGUUGACCACUACUAAUUAGCCCCUAGGCUUGACCGUAAAA